rnacentral:rRNA from 1 species
GACGAACGCUGGCGGCGUGCCUAAUACAUGCAAGUCGAGCGAAUCGAUGGGAGCUUGCUCCCUGAGAUUAGCGGCGGACGGGUGAGUAACACGUGGGUAACCUGCCUGUAAGACUGGGGUAACUUCGGGAAACCGGAGCUAAUACCGGAUAAUUUCUUUUCUCGCAUGAGGAGAGAUGGAAAGAUGGUUCUGCUAUCACUUACAGAUGGACCCGCGGCGCAUUAGCUAGUUGGUGAGGUAACGGCUCACCAAGGCGACGAUGCGUAGCCGACCUGAGAGGGUGCUCGGCCACACUGGGACUGAGACACGGCCCAGACUCCUACGGGAGGCAGCAGUAGGGAAUCUUCCGCAAUGGACGAAAGUCUGACGGAGCAACGCCGCGUGAGCGAAGAAGGCCUUCGGGUCGUAAAGCUCUGUUGUUAGGGAAGAACAAGUACGAGAGUAACUGCUCGUACCUUGACGGUACCUAACCAGAAAGCCACGACUAACUACGUGCCAGCCGCCGCGGUAAAAC